GGUGUGUGUGUAUGUAGGGGUGUGUGUUAUGUAGGGGUGUGUGUAGGUGUGUGUAUAGGGGUGUGUGUAGGUGUGUGUAUGUGGGGGGGUGUGUUAUGUAGUGUGUGUAGGUGUGUGUAGGGGUGUGUGUAGGUGUAUGUGUGUGUAUGUGUGUGUGUAGGUGUGUGUGUAUGUAGGGGUGUGUGUAGGGGUGUGUAGGGGUGUGUAGGGGUGUGUGUAGCUGUAUGUGUGUGUAGGGGUGUGUGUAGGUGUGUGUGUAUAGGGGUGUGUAGGUGUGUGUAGGGGUUGUGUGUAGGUGUAUGUGUGUCGGGGUGUGUGUAGGUGUGUGUAGGUGUGUGUGUGUAGGGUGUAUGUACAUGUAGGUGUGUGUGUGAGUGUGGGUGGCGCGAGGGUUCUCCAGCCCCAAGUGCGUUGGUAAGAACGCGAGGAGGGGAGAAGGACAGCUGGAACCGUCUGAGCGGCGGGGGAGCCGGUGUGUGAAGCCGGCACCACGUUAGCGGAACCGAGUUAUUGAAGGGCCCCACCUGGGUGGAGCCGUGAGUGUGAGCAGCUUCCGCUUCCCCCGGAAGCUGGCGUCGUGCAGGAACCCUCACCCGCCCGAGCGGGGCCCUGGGCCUCCGGGUCACUCUCUGUGGCGGGGUCUGGCUGCGCGUCAGACGGCCUCCUCCAAUGCCCGCAGUUGCUGUCGCCCCCAGGCCUGGACCGGGGAGUGAGGGGUGGGCCUGACCGGCCCCUGAGCUCCCGUCAGCCCCCCACGCGAGCCCGUCCUGUGCUGGGGGCAGGGAGAUGGGCCGGUGGGAGAGGAGACCGCAUCCAGCCCUCCCUGGCCACCUGCAGGGUCCCCACCGUGGCGGCUGCUUUACUGCUAACUCCUCCCGGGGACCCCAAGUCCCCAUCGCUCUCGGGGGUCCCCCUCAUCCGAACCGCCUCGGAGGAGGGCCGCAUCUCACGCGGAGCACCCCUCCACGCCUGUGACCCUGGACUUGCUCUCCCGCCCCCGCCCGGGCCUCAGGGCUCAGGAGGCCGUGAUGAAGCCAGCAGGUGAACUGCACCCUGGAGCCUCCGACGGGGCGGCCACGGGCAGCGAAGAACCCGGAAAAACAGUACCCUUCUGAGGUUAAUCCGCGUUGAUAGAAGCAGGUGUGGUUCAUCUGGAAUCUGUUGGUGUGAACUGCGCGGCGGCGUCCCCCACCAGGCACCACAGGUGAUUCAUUCGUUUCCCUGAAAAGGCGCCUGGAUGCUGUUUCUAGCUCCCGUUAUCCCCAGCGAUGCUGCACCUGCCCCAGGACACACGCUAGGGUGGAACCGCCGGGCAUGGAGCAGGUGUGGUCUCAACCGCAGGAGAAACAGCCGGGUAGCCUCCAAAGGGACGUGCCACUUGGCGCUCCUGCAAGGGGAGAGGCACUGAGGCUCUCGGUCCUCACCAGCACGUCCUUGUGCCACACUCAGGCCCGGCGGGUGGUGUGGGGGCCGCAUCUCAUGGAGGUCUCCGUCCACGUUGCCCCCAUUGUGACCGCAGCGGGCGCCUCUUGGUAGCAGCCACCGGCCUCUUCUGGGACUCGCCGGAGGGUUUCCACGUCGCCCGCUCCGACGGGGCUGUUCAUCUCCCCUUGAUCUGUGGGACUCCCCGUCCGUCUCAGAUGACAGAAUGGAGCCCUGGGCUUCUCCAUGAAGUUCCUGUGUGACCUAGGGCAAGGCACUGCCAUCUCUGAGCCAUCCUCGCUUUCCAUCUCUGUGAAAGGAAAAGGCUUGGACACGGAGCUGCCCCGCCUCUGACUGGACGUCCCUUCCCCACCCAGCGCCAGAGGAUCUUGUGAUCCAAGCAGUUGCAACCUCGCCGGGCUCCUGCGGCUCCCGCCAGUGGACCCAAGAAAAGCCAGGCCUGUCUGAGGUCCAGGCAUGGUGACCCCAGGUUACCCAGGGUGCUGGAGCCCUCUUCCGUGGCAGGGAGAGGCCACGUGCUCCUUCCUGCUCUGGUUCCACCCUCACUGGCCCCUGGUCCCCGCCUGUUUGAGGAGAUCCUGAGGGGGCUGCCGGGAGGACUGGUUCCAACGCUCAGGGCCUCCGCCUGGACUCUGGCCUGCAGGCUUGAGGAGGGAGAGGCCUGUCCUCCCUCACUGCCACUUCUCCCUUAUCAGUAGUAGGAGAGGUUACUAUGAAUAUUCAUAUGGCUCACAUGAAUAUUUAUGAGAACACUGCGCCGGGUCUAUCUUCUCGCCCUUGGGUCCCUCCAUAGCUUGCUAACUCGCUGCACCCACGGGUCUCUGUUGACCCUUGUACUCGAGCCAGCGAGGCGGCUUUCCCUCCACCGACAGAGGUCUGCCCGGCAGCCCCAGG
rnacentral:lncRNA from 1 species